rnacentral:rRNA from 1 species
CUACGGGGCGCAGCAGUGGGGAAUAUUGCACAAUGGAGGGAACUCUGAUGCAGCAACGCCGCGUGGAGGAUGACACAUUUCGGUGCGUAAACUCCUUUUAUAUAAGAAGAUAAUGACGGUAUUAUAUGAAUAAGCACCGGCUAACUCCGUGCCAGCAGCCGCGGUAAUACGGGGGGUGCAAGCGUUACUCGGAAUCACUGGGCGUAAAGAGCAUGUAGGCUGGUUUGUAAGUUGGAAGUGAAAUCCUAUGGCUUAACCAUAGAACUGCUUCCAAAACUACUUACCUAGAGUAUGGGAGAGGUAGAUGGAAUUUCUGGUGUAGGGGUAAAAUCCGUAGAGAUCAGAAGGAAUACCGAUUGCGAAGGCGAUCUACUGGAACAUUACUGACGCUCAGAUGCGAAAGCGUGGGGAGCAAACAGGAUUAGAUACCCCGGUAGUC